AAGGCCUGGAGUAGACACUGCACUGAACAAAUCUCCCACUGAAACCAGGGCAGGUUUUCACUUGUGAGUGUUCUCUGUGGGGCACAAUAGGAACCAAAUAGAAACAAAAAUAUUUGUAUAACAAGAUGAAACAUGAGCAAAGCCUUAGAAAACAGCAAAAGCUGCCUUUUGGGACUAGCAUUGGGGUAAGUAAAACAUAGGCAUGUUUCAGAACUACCAGUUCCCUUUUCCAAGGUUUUCUAAACACUGUGAGCCUCCUGCAGGUUCAUACUCUUCCAUAUCAUUCCUAAUGCAGCAUCUUACAGC